AACAGACAAAAACGUGGAUGACAAUAUGUUCUAAGAGGUCGCUAUAAUCAUAAUAAAUAGUAUUCAUCAUGAAACUUUUUAAGUCCAAUAUGGCAAAUGGUUGCAGCCCUGAUACAACUGUUCAUUUAAUUACAAGUCUCAAAAGGCAGGUUAGAAUCACCAACCAAGUCACCGAGCCAUGACAUGACACAGGCAACCUGUUGUCACCAAGUUCCAUUUCCUGUUCUGGUGCAGAAGCAUUUCACUGUGCAGUAAUUGGAUAUGUGUUCCGUCAGACACAGGGCAGACACUUAGACCUGAAUUUGAGACAGAGCACAGCACAUUUCACUCAGAGGAAGAGCUGUCAACAUGCAGCUCCCUGACCUGCUGCUGAGAGUUUUCAUAGCCUCUGCCUGCCUCGGAUCCAUCAAGGCCCAGAACGUGACUCAAGAUCAGCCAGAAAUGUCUGUGCUGGAGAAGGAGGCUGUAACUUUGGACUGUGCAUACGAGAGUAGUAGUUAUAGUUAUUAUUUAUUCUGGUACAAACCACCACCAAGUGGGGAAAUGAUUUUCCUACUUCAUCAGGAGUCUUACAAUGAGCUAAAUAAAACAGAAGGUCGAUAUUUUUUGAACUUCCGGAAGAAAGCCAGUUCCAUCAGCCUCACCAUCACAGCCUCACAACUCGAGGACUCAGCAGUAUAUUUCUGGCUCUGA